CAGGCGGUGGCAAGCCAGGAGGCCCGGCCUGGUGAGGUGUCUGCAGACUGAGAACCCAGUGACUCUCACUUCGUCGGUGUCAUCAGGAAAGUAAACCUUGUGGAAGAUCUGCGUGGUUUUGUGCUGAAUGGCCUCCACCUCUACCAGCAUUUCCAAGCCCGUGACGAGCCCCACCACCUGGGCUGUAACAGGGGAUGCUAAUGGUGCCAACACCAAGGGCUGUGUAGGAGACUGAAUGAAUCCAAGGAAGUGAGCAGACUUCACAACUCGGGUGUUUGUGGCUCCUGGACAGACUUGAAGGUAUGAGCUACGUGCUUCCGAGCAAUGAGGCUCCCCAGGGAUGGGCCCCACCAUGUCCUCAUCCCCAACAAGCUUGUCCCACAGCUUAGUGUGGCUGGGAGCCCACGGGAGUGCCCACCCCUGCCCCCGGCAGCCGCUGUACCUCAGGGCUUUCUGGAGUCGCUGAAGGCAGUCCACGGCAAGUGGGCAGUGCUUGCGGGACUGCAGGAAGCGCUGCACGUGGGGCAGGAGGAUGUUGCUGGGCGGGAAGAGGCCUGUGCACAGCCAGAGCAGCUCCCAGCCUCGCUCCUCGCUAUACCUGAAAGACAGGCCCAGUGGCCAGUAGGAGCAGCUGCCAGCUGGGAAUCAGCGCCUGCUGCUGCAGCAGAUGCCUGCCCUGCCCUUCACCCUCUCUGAGGGCAGCACGGACCCGCCUCCCUGACGGCCACAUCCAGUAAGUGCACCUCGACGUGGGGCUCCAGGCCCCACACUGCUUGCUACCAGUCACGGGGAUACAAGGUGCUUGUGCCAGAAUGAAAAUCCACCUUGUUACCAACCCUGGCUCCACUGAGACUUUCCUGAGAGAGGGAGCAUGGUGUGAUUUACGUCUGGCAGAACCUCUUUAACUCUUCAUGCUUUGAAUAGCACUGAGUUAGACCAGCUUCCCUGGGCUCCUGCAAGCACCACUCUGAGUUCAGUGUUCCUGACGGGAGGGAAGUGUAUCCUGGCUGGGGGCCUGGUGGAUGCUAGGGUUUGGCAUUGUGAAAACCCCUGAAAUGUAGUUCCUGGUGAGUUUGUGAAAGAGACGUACAGGGUAACCAAGCUGGGGAGGAAAUUGGGAACUGAGUGUCGGGGGAGAGGGCGGGCUUCUCUCCUACUCUCUGAGAUGAGCAGGGUCCUGACUUCCCACGCCUGCCUCAGGCUGACCCCUGGAGAGGAGGCAGGGACACUGGGGGCCAACACCCCUGACACAGGAGAAUUUGCAACCAGAGCUUUCAAGUGAUGGUCAGCCCGGCCUGAGCCAGGGAGGGAUGCUUCAGGGUUGACCCUGCACAUGGUCAGCAGGGCCUGAGCCCGGCAGGGAUAGUCCCGGCAGCUUAGGCAGGAGGACCAGCUAGAGGAACUGGGGCUGUUUAACUUGAACAGGCUCAAAGGGGCACAGCUGCCACCUCUGUGUUCCUGACAGGCUGUCCUUGGGCCUCAAGGCCAAGCUGAGCUAUUAGAGGGGCCAAGAACAGCUCCCUCCUGUGUGAGGAAGGCCUGGGAGGCUGCAUGGACAGGAGGACACGGAGCCCUUCACCCACCUGCCCACCUCGCCCACUCACCGGAUGUGGUUGUCGGUCAGCUGCUUCAGGAUCUGCACGUAUGCCUCGUCCUUGAGGGGCUCGGCCUUCAGAGCACCCUCAAAGAUCUGGUCAGUGAGCUCGUUGACAGAGCGCGUGCGCUUGGAUGGGUAGUCACCCAUGUACUUGAGCACAGGGGCCUAGUGACUCAGAGCCACAGGGCGGUUGUUCCGGCUGCUGUCAACUGCAGAUGGAGAUGUGGAGAACACUGAGGCUGACCACUGGCCUCACUGACGGCUGAGGGAAGGGAGGACACAGGGCCCAUGGGAAAGGCACAAGCCCUGCUCCUCAGCUAGCACCCGGGCAAGGAUGGGAACGUGGCGAGAGCAGCUUGAGUGCCCCCUAGCCGUGCCUGCAGCCCUGCUGGCAGUCACUCACCAGGGU